rnacentral:lncRNA from 1 species
GUUUAUGAAAACUCUGGGAAGACUAUGAACAUCGUGAGGAAAGAAUAUCUCCGCAUAGAAAUCCAAAAAGCCCCAUAAGCGAAGCAUUUCCAAAUUUCUGAGUAUACGAGCACAAGCAUUGCAGGUGAUCCUGAACCAUGUGGCAAAACCUGUUUGCGACGUCUACAUUAAACUCCUAAAAACAAUGCCCGUAUUGUAGGAUUCUCACAGAACAACCUUGAAAUAACCAAGAAGUAUGGCAGACUUCCAUAACGAGCGGAGAUAUAGAGCUCAUGGUUCAGAUUGAUGCCUUGCAUUGGACCUUCGGAAACCCUGAAAUAAAAUUAGAAAAGGAAUCUUGUGACUUAUUGCUCUUUUCUUAAUUUAUUCAUAUUUGUCCAGCCAAUCAAAGUGGUAACAAGUUAGAAACCUUGAUUCUAAGUUCCAAAUGUAGAAUAUCAAAGCUCAUAAGAAUUAGAAACAAAGAGAAGAUUUCAGAGAGUUUUACCUUCACUGGUUUUCUCCAACUCCCAUUAUUUCCAUGUCAAAUGGGGAAAAAUCGUGUUUAAUCCUUUCUUCUCAUCGCUAUUGAAUGUCGAUGUCAACUCGAGCUCAACCCUUUUCCAUACCUCAUCUAGAAAAGACGGUCCUGAUUCAAAGAUGAAGAAAUAAUGAUUUAUAAAGUGAUCUUAAUUACUUGUGCAAGUUUGACAAUCUGGACCUUUUCCUUUUGUUAUGAUUCACGCAUAUAAUCCAUCGAUAAUGAUCAUGAAACAAGAAAAGAAAAGGAAACGUAAGUUACACUCCAGUAUUCAACAACUUACGAUGGAAUCUGUAAGAGUGCAGCAGCCAGCCAAAUUCACACGUUGUUUUUGUGCAGAAACAUAUCGGCACCUAUGUAAAGAUGACAGAUGCAAUGAAAGAUGAGUAAGCAUUCCACCGUAUUCAAACCACAACAGUAAGAGGAAAAAAAAACAUCAUCAAGGAGUUACCUCGUCCUGUGCAGGAGAAUCAUAUUGGUGUCAUAGCUAGCCAGAGCACCCAAUAACUUACUUGGUAUUGUACGAAGUAAUUUAUGUAAGCAAACACUUGUUGCUAUUGGAUGAUAUUGUCCUGAAAUUUAAUUGAUUGAUUAAUUAAACACAGUAUAGCUGACAGUAAACAAUUGAAGUGAAACUUUUACAGAAUCUGAAUCUCGUGUGUACGUACCUGACAUUGACUUGAGAUCUCAAUUGAUGAUGACUUGCUUGCCUAUCUUGAUGCAAGGAAUGUGAGCUAUCUUGCUCCACUCUUCUCCCGUCUUCUCCUGACACCUCUUCAUCAGAGAAGGACAGUUGUAGAUGCGCAAACAAGAGAGCGAUGCCAGCAAAUCCUCUUUUGGCAGGAAUUUGAGACUAUCACACUCGUAAAUUUGGAGCUCUUGAAGAGAAGUGAGGUGUUGAAUUCCCUUUCCCUCCAAAGAUUUCAGACUCGUAAAUUUGGAUGAUAGCGUCCUGAAAUUUAAACAAGUAUGUUUUUUAAUGGUGGUAUAGUUGAGUUAAACAGUUGAAAAGUUAAAACUGAUUGAUUAAUUAAACACUAUAUAUAGAUGACAGCAAACAAUUGAAGUGAAACUUUUACAUGAUCUGAAUCUUGUAUGUUAUUCUAUGAAAAAUGGUGCUAUGUACGUACCUGACUUUGAGUUGAGAUCUCAAAUGAUGACUUGGUCGCCUAUCUCGAUGCAAGGAAUGUGAGCUAUCUUGCUCCACUCUUCUCCUGUCUUCUCCUCACACCCGUAAUACAUGUGUUACACGCGAGAUAUUGACAAAACCCUCAUUAAUUAUUUCCUCACUAACAAGGCGAUAAUUUUGCCAGGAUCAUACAUCCAAGAAUAUGACAACCUGAGUACAAACGAUUUGAUUAUUUUUGCAUCCCAAAUACCACAUAUCCUAUGAUUUCAUCCAAAAACAGUUCAGAAUAUUCAUCUAAAGAACUUAGUUAUGAACAGAGGAGAUCCACAUGAUUUUACGAUGAAGUACAAUUUGACAAAAUAAUUCAUGAUUUACAUAAGAGUAAACGUGUUACCAGUACCACUGCAGCACUUGAAAGUUAAAGUAUCACAAGCAGAUAAUAGGGGCCUUACUAGCUCCGCUUUUUUCCAUGUGCCGGUUGACUCUUCCAACCAUCCAAUAUUCCGGCCUUCCAAUCCAUUGAUGAUGUGGUCGAAUCAACUAGUAUAUAAAAGUAUGGCAUUAAAUAUGAAAAUGCAGAAUGUGGCAGGGCUUAUAUCUCUGGUUUUAUUAAUCUUGUUAUAUACAGGUAGAAAACACUGGAUAUCUGGCAAAACAUUUCCAGGAUGAAGUUCACAUAAAGUCCGUUUUUUCCCAGUUUGCAUGAAAUUCCUACUAAGUAGGUUUGUUCUGCUAUAAGCAAUAAUGUACAUGAUCACACAACUGAGGUUCAGAGUUGUUACCAAGAAAAUUUCUAACAUACGACGGCCUACUCCAACCAUCCUCUAUCAAAAUUAGGUUAAGGCGUAUCAUCAAUUUCUCUGUGGCAUCUUCCACCAAAACAGCUAAUCAAUCAGACAGUCGCCUCCGUAGGGGACGAUCCUGAAGAAUCCAAAUAAAGGUACUUUAUUAGAUUUGGUAUCAAAGUCGGAUGUCAUCUUACAUAUAGAAAUUAGGAAACUUACCUUUUUGUCCUGCUACAACUUUAGAUAUUCAAGUGAUUGCUAAUAAAGUCCACAAUGGUAGAAAAGAAUGAUGUAAUGUCUUAAUUCCUUCGGAUCAGCUUCUGGGAGAAUAAGAUGUUCACAAGCUGUGACAAAGAAGCCUUAGCAGAUGCAAGCUGAACGCCAGUGGAAAAAUACCAAGUAUCCUUAUAUAUGUGCACUUAAGUUGGAUUAGUUUUAAGUAGAAACUACAUUCACUUCGGACAAAGUACCAGUCUUCUUUAUACUUGAUCUAUCAAUAAAGUUAGCAGCACGUGCUGCCUUCAAGAACAAAUUCCCUGGUUGAUCAUGCUGAAAUGGGCCAGAAUGCGCCCUUCAAAUUUUUUUAGAUCUGUACAAACAGUAGACUAUGAGACCAGAUGUAGCUUAAGGUUAAAGCCUUGUACACGUCCGAAGAUCAAUUAUGCAUGUAAAUAAAAUUAUAUAAAGACAAUGUCACACACAAACAAAUGUACACAAAGAUAUAUUUAAUCUUUACCUUGACUCACUUUGAGCACAAAACCCAUGCUUACAACUGCUCAAUUGAAAUCUCAUGGUUGACAUCCUAGCGCAGAGACCUUUAUAAAUACUUUGCUUAUGUUGUAAUGAUCAUGUAGUUCAUUUCAAAUAUCUAUAUCUAAGGUUUUGUAGUUGAUUUCUAACUAAUUUAUCCUAAAUUCUUUAAUACUUUCAAAUCCCUCAUCCAAACGCAGGGUGAGAGAAGUAGGAGUUUUAGCAUACACAACUCAUUGACAUAGGACAAUGCAAAUCAAGGCGAAAAAAAACAGAUCUGUCGACAUGAUAACACAAGUCACCUCACCUCCACUAAAACGGCUUGCGAAGUCAUUAUGUGUGCAUUAUCAGAUUACUUGCUUUUAACCUCUGGGAAGACUAUGAAGAUCAUGACGAAGCAUUUUCAAAAUUUGAGUAUAUGAGCACAAGCAUUGCAGGUGAUCCUGAGCGAUGUGUCAGAACCAGUUUGCAACGUCUACAUUAAACUCCUGAAAACAAUGCCCAUAUUGUAGGGUUCUCACAGAACAACCUUGAGACAACAAACAAGUAAGGCAGACUUCCGUACUGAGUGGAGAGAUAGAGCUCAUGGUUCAGAGUGAUGCCUUGCAUUGGUCCUUCAGAAACCCUGAAAUAAAAUUAAAAAAGGAACCUUGUGACUUAUUGCUCUUUUCUUAAUUUAUUCAUAUUUGUCCAGCCAAUCAAAGUGGUAACAAGUUAGAAACCUUGAUUCUAAGUUCCAAAUGUAGAAUAUCAAAGCUCAUAAGAAUUAGAAACAAAGAGAAGAUUUCAGAGAGUUUUACCUUCACUGGUUUUCUCCAACUCCCAUUAUUUCCAUGUCAAAUGGGGAAAAAUCGUGUUUAAUCCUUUCUUCUCAUCGCUAUUGAAUGUCAAUGUCAACUCGAGCUCAACCCUUUUCCAUACCUCACCUAGAGAAGACGGUCCUGAUUCAAAGAAGAAGAAAUAAUGAUUUAUAAAGUGAUCUUAAUUACUUGUGCAAGUUUGACAAUCUGGACCUUUUCCUUUUGUUAUGAUUCACGCAUAUAAUCCAUUGAUAAUGAUCAUGAAACAAGAAAAGAAAAGGAAACGUAAGUUACACUCCAGUAUUCAACGACUUACGAUGGAAUCUGUAAAAGUGCAGCAGCCAGCCAAAUUCACACGUUGUUUUUGUGCAGAAACAUAUCGGCACCUAUGUAAAGAUGACAGAUGCAAUGAAAGAUGAGUAAGCAUUCCACCGUAUUCAAACCACAACAGUAAGAGGGAAAAAAAACAUCAUCAAGGAGUUACACAACUCACUGACAUAGGACAAUACAAAUUAAGGCAAAACAAACAGUGUCAAAAUCCAAAAUGCCUUACUUCUUUGAGUCAUUAUGUUUGCAUUAUGCCCUUAUCAGACUCCUUGCUUUUUUGUUUAUGAAAACUCUGGGAAGACUAUGAAGAUCGUGAUUCGUGAGGAAAGAAUAUCUCUGCAUAGAAAUCCAAAAGGCCCCAUAAGCGAAGCAUUUCCAAAUUUCUGAGUAUACGAGCACAAGCAUUGCAGGUGAUCCUGAACCAUGUGGCAAAACCUGUUUGCGACGUCUACAUUAAACUCCUAAAAACAAUGCCCGUAUUGUAGGAUUCUCACAGAACAACCUUGAAAUAACCAAG